rnacentral:rRNA from 1 species
CAUUCGAGUGGCGGACGGGUGAGUAACGCGUGGGUAACCUGCCUUACACAGGGGGAUAACACCUGGAAACAGGUGCUAAUACCGCAUAAGCGCACAGGGCCGCAUGGCCCGGUGUGAAAAACUCCGGUGGUGUAAGAUGGACCCGCGUCUGAUUAGCUUGUUGGCGGGGUGGGCCCACCAAGGCGACGAUCAGUAGCCGGCCUGAGAGGGUGGACGGCCACAUUGGGACUGAGACACGGCCCAAACUCCUACGGGAGGCAGCAG